UACGUAGGGGGCAAGCGUUGUCCGGAUUUAUUGGGCGUAAAGCGCGUGUAGGCGGCUUGGCAAGUCCGCUGUGAAAACUCGAGGCUCAACCUCGAGAUGUCGGUGGAAACUGCCUGGCUAGAGUCCGGAAGAGGAGUGUGGAAUUCCUGGUGUAGCGGUGAAAUGCGCAGAUAUCAGGAAGAACACCGGUGGCGAAAGCGCUCUGCUGGACCUUAACUGACACUGAGGGACGAAAGCUAGGGGAGCGAAUGGG
rnacentral:rRNA from 1 species